rnacentral:rRNA from 1 species
AUGCACGCUGGCGGCGUGCCUAAUACAUGCAAGUCGAGCGAACAGACGAGGAGCUUGCUCCUCUGACGUUAGCGGCGGACGGGUGAGUAACACGUGGAUAACCUACCUAUAAGACUGGGAUAACUUCGGGAAACCGGAGCUAAUACCGGAUAAUAUAUUGAACCGCAUGGUUCAAUAGUGAAAGACGGUUUUGCUGUCACUUAUAGAUGGAUCCGCGCCGCAUUAGCUAGUUGGUAAGGUAACGGCUUACCAAGGCAACGAUGCGUAGCCGACCUGAGAGGGGGAUCGGCCACACUGGAACUGAGCCACGUUCCAGACUCCUACGGGGGGCAGCAGUAGGGAUUCUUCCGAAAGGGGCGAAAGCCUGAGGGAGCAACGCCGCGUGAUUGAGAAAGGUCUUGGGAUCGAAAAACUCUGUUAUUGGGAAAAAAAAAAUGUGUAAGAAACUUUGCACGUCUGGAGGUUCCCUAAUCAGAAACCCACGGCAAACUACGGC